rnacentral:lncRNA from 1 species
UGGGUGUCAUUUAUAUCAGUGGGUUUCAAAUAUAAAAUGUGAAAAUAUCUACAAAAAAUAAACGCACAGUAUUAGAGGUGAUGGUUUUCAGUUGUUUAAUUCGUACCUGCACAGGACAUCGAAACAGCAGGUUAAAAGGAAACCUUGACAUUAUCAAUUAUUUGGCUAGCUGGGGAAUUAGGUUUUCAGUGAUGGUAGAGAAAAGCAACCAAUUAAAAUUUUCCAUUUUCACUGUUUGUACCUAUUGUUUAAUGUUGCUGCAUGUAAUUGAACCAAAUUGACUUGGCCUGAACAGAUUUACUAGUGAGGAAGAGAACAUAGAGAACAUAGAGUUGAUGGAAUUAUGGGGGUUAGGGUUGAAAAGUCUCUUUUGUGUACAGUAGAAUUGUGGAAGGAACAGAUGGAAAGGCAAAGGAAGUAGUUGAUCAGAUUAGAAGGUCCAGGAGGAGUUGAAGUUUGAGCAGGGAAGAAGGGGUAAGAGACAAGAUAUAAGUCAGAGCAGAGCUAUGCAGCAGUCUGGAUGUCAGGAAGAGAAAUUAUUGUUGUCAUAUAUAUACUUUUCCUCCAGCAGAACCAGAGCUACGACUGAAAAAAAUGACGUGAAAUGUUCAAAUCAGAAAAGAUCUCCUGCUUGGUGCCAUGACUGAGAUGAGAGCAGAAGAAACAGAAAUGGGGCCUAUUCCAGGUUGAGACUGGUGUCUCUGGAACAGAAAACAAAGAGGAUAAAAGACGAACUGGACCAGAAUGAGUGAUAAACUGUCUCCUCCAUGUUAAACAUAUAAUUUAUUUCAGCUAAUAAACCUUAGGAUUAAUUGUAAUGAGCACAAAACUCACUGUUGUAUGUGGGAUGCCAGUGCUUGUAGCAGGUCUGUCUAUCUGCGUAGUUUACAUCACUGAUGUCUUUCCUUCCUUUCCUAAGAGGAUCUGUGGGAGUCCAGGCUGUGAGGACUGCACCUGCAGACUGCAAAUCUGCCUUUUGACCCUGAGAGGAGCAUGCAGAGGCAUCAUGGGAGAAGUACUUUUUAUGAAAACUACUGCCCUGCAGAGGGACAAGUGUCACUUUGGUCUUUACCAGUGAAUGCCAGGAACAGUAGAGACAUUGUCCUCGCUGAUGAUGUUUCCUCUGCCCAAACCUUGUCACCUCACAAAAAGGCAGCUGCUACUCGUGGACUUGACCAGGCCUCUUUGGCCAUAGGCAGUGCAAGGGCCUCACUUACCAUUAGGCGGAAGUAAGGAGGACUAGUGUGAAAGAUAUUUGGCACCACAGACGCACGGGGCUUUAUAGACGGAGAGUUGGCUUUUACACUCUGCCGAAAGUUUGCUGCUUAUGUUCAACCAGACGGGCCAUUAAAACAGUGCCAGCGGCCUUUAGCACUUCAUGAAAAGGAAACAAAGCAGCAAAAUGGGUAUGGGUUUUACAGUAAGGAACAGCCAUCCCUUCCAUCAAAAAAGAGUGCUAUAUUUUCUCCCCUAUGUUGAAACAGCUUCCCCCCUUCACACCUUUUAGGAGGCAAUCUGUGAUUAGGAGAUGGGAAGUCUGGCGUCACCAGCUUGGCUGGCAAGACUCAGUGGGAAAUCAUGGGGCAGUGUCUGCUACUCCGUGUGUGCAUGAGGUUGCUACUUAACUGGAUCUGGAAGUAAAUCAAUCCAUUAACGUAUACUAACCAUGGCACUAAUUAGUUGCAUAUGUAUAAUCAGCAUGCUCACAGGCAUCUCGUUGGGGAAUAGUGGGCUGACAGACACAAAUUUGUUAGUCUGCGUCUGCUGCCAGAUUUGGAAAAUUUGAAGUUUUUGAAACUGAAAUAAGGCAACAAUAACAACAAAAAAAAUUCAAGUUGACAGUGUCCCUUGCAAACAGAUGGCUGAACACACCUUCUCUGAAGAAGGCCACUCUUCAUGGGAGGACAAUAAAAGUUCACAGUUAAGACA